GCAAUCAAGCAUCAUCGACUCGCAGGGUGAACAAAAUGGUGAUAUCAGAAGAACAGAUGAAGUUACCAUCCACCAAGAAAACGGCACAUGUGGAGAGCCAGGGAGAAGAAUAGAAAGAAAAAGAGACAGAGAUCAGAGACAGACACAGAAAGUGAGAUUGGGGAGAGAGAUAGUGUAAAAGAGAGAGAGAGAGAGAGACCAUAAGAGAAGGGAGACAAAGAGAUAAAAGGUGCGAGUCAUCAGUCUACAGGUGUAUCCAGCAGCUCCAGAGAGACAGCGACCGACCAGAGAGAAGGGGCCAUGAUGAUGGGAGAACGAGGCCCCUGAGGUCUUCCUGGACUCCGAGGUGAGGAAGGAUGCCCUGGUAUGAGGGGACCUAAGGGAGCAAGAGGAUUUUCAGGAGAGAAGGGCAACCCUGGUGAGGGAGUUGAUGGCUUGCAUGGAGAACAGGGUAAUCACGGAAUCCCAGGGUCAUCUGGAGAAAAAGGAAAUAGGGGAAAUCGGGGCUUGACGGGACUGCCAGGACAACCUGGAGAGCGUGGAGAGCCUGGGUUAAGGGGAGAUCCUGGGGAUCCUGGAACUAAUAGCUAUAUCCAAGGCCCUAAGGGAGAAAAAGGAAGGCGUGGGCGUCAGGGAAGUUCUAAUGUUGAUGGACCUCAGGGAGAAACUGGAAAUGUCGGCCCUUGGGGGACAAUAGGAAGGCGAGGUCUGCCAGGAUUAAAGGACCCUCUACCACUGUUGUGUCGCUGCUUUCCUGUCUAUACCCACUUCAUUACACAGCUGAUUGGAAGUGAAGCAAGUCAUGCUGGGAACCAUGAGCAAGAUAAUCAAUAAAACCUCUCCUUAAUUCUCACCUUCCCGCUGGGAUGGACCAAGAGGAAGGCAAGGACCACCAGGAACUUCUGGACAAAAAGGCUUAGUGGGUGCUCAGGGGAAUCCUGGGCCUCCAGGGCCAAAUGGUUCAAAAGGAAAAGCUGGACCAAGAGGAGUGAAGGGAGAGAUUGGUGAUGUAGGAGAAAGAGGCCCACAGAGUCGACAAGGACCAAGAGGGCAACCUGGUCUUCCUGGUUCUGAUGGAUAAGGACAUCCAGGAACAAAAGGAACAAAGGGUGAACAUGGAUUCCCUGGCUAUCCUGGUGCACAAGGAGAAGAUGGUGACCCGGGCCAUCAAGGAGAAAAGGGGGCAAAGGGAAUAAGAGGGAAGAGGGGUAAUGCUGGCUUUCCUGGAUUUGUUGGAACUUCGGGUGACCAAGGCCCACCAGGACAAAUGCCUUGCAAAAUUGUUGAUUUCACACGUGAAAACUGCCUUACCCUUUAGGUAAGUAAUCUUUCCCAAUGUGGUCUCAGAAAUAAAGUGGAUUGACAGCAUGCCAUCUCAACGAUGAAGAGAAGCUCCACUGAGCAAUACUGUGCCCCAGGAGAUGUCAUAACUGCACACCUGUGUGCCUACAUCUUGCUGCUUCUUAUCACAAAACAAAGGAGGUUUGUUCUUUUUAUGUAUUUCCAAAUGCCCAGCAUUCCCAACUGAAGUGGCCUUUGCCUUGGACAUGUCAAAUGAUGUCUCCCUGUUGGAUUUUGAGAGGAUGAGAGACAUUUUAUUGUCUCUGUUGAUGAAGAUGGAAAUAAGUGACAGUAACUGCCCAACAGGUGCCCAUGUGGCCAUUGUUUCCUACAAUGCCAAAACCAAUUACUUGGUUCGUUUCUCAGACUACAAGGGGAAGGUUGCACUCCUGGAGGCUGUCAGGAACAUCCCCCUGGAGCAGUCAUCUGGCCGCAGGAACCUCGGGGCCACCAUGAGGUUUAUGGCGAGACGUGUUCAAACGUGUACGCUCGGGUCUUCUCAUGAGGAAGGUGGCUGUGUUCUUCCAGGCGGGCUGGGCCUAUGAUGCAGCUUCCAUCAAUACAGCCACACUGGAGCUUGCUGCAGUGGGCAUCAUCCCCGUGGUCAUCACCUUCACAGAGGGGCACAACCUCCCGGACACCCUGCUGACAAAUGCAGACCAGACCCAGAAUGCCCGGCUGGCACGCCGGGGCCCCAGGAGGUGGACGUGGACUUGGUAUUUGUGGUGGACAGCUCCUAUGGAGUGGAUGCCGACGUGUACCGCGGGUCUUUGAGUCUAGCGGACGCCGCGCUAGAAGACCUGGAGGUGGCUGAGCAGCCGGGCGCGUCCCACCGUGGGGCGCGUGUGGCCCUGGUGACGCACACGACACCCAACUUCUGGCCGGGUGUGGGUUGCCUCCCUGUGCUCGAGGGCUUCCACUUGACCACCUAUGGCAACCGGAAGCAGAUGCAGAGACAUGUGCGCGAGGCUUCAGCCCGCCCCUUACAGGGAACCGCCCCCCCUGGGCCACGCCCUGGAGUGGACGCUGGAGAAUGUGCUCCUGGCAGCCCCUCGGCCGCGGAAGGCACAAGUCCUCUUCGCCAUCGUGGCCAGCGAGACAAGUAGCUGGGACAGGGAGAAGCUAUGGACUCUGUCCCUGGAGGCCAAAUGCAAGGGCAUUACCCUCUUUGUGCUGGCCUUGGGUCCGGGUGUGGGGACCCAUGAGCUAGCCGAGCUAGCCGAGCUGGUCAGUGCUCCCUCUGAGCAGCAUCUACUGCGCCUACAAGGGGUCUCAGAGCCAGAGGUUAACUACGCUCAGGGAUUCACUCGGGCCUUCCUGAACCUCCUAAAAAGUGGGACAAACCAGUACCCACCCCCAGAGCUCACUGAAGAAUGUGGGGGCCUACACCGUGGGGACACUGUGCUGCAAUUAGUCACACCUGUCAACAGGUUGCCCAGGCACCAGUUUGGUAUGUCUGGCUUGGCUGAUGAUUUGGAAGCACUUGAAGCAACAGGCAUUUUUCUAGAAGAGAAGAGAAAAGACAUCACAACAUCUAUAACUCAGCAAGAAGCACUUGAAAAUUAUGAAAAUAACAAAUAUGACAUUGAAGAAAAUGAACAAGAAACACCAGCAAAACAAAAAGAAACUAGAAAAGAAAUAAAUGCAGACACUACCUAUGGUCCUUGUUCCAUGGAUCCAAUGGAAGGCGAGUGUCAGGAUCACACCCUGAAGUGGCAUUACAACAAGGAGGAACGGGUUUGCCAGCAGUUCUGGUGUGGCAGCUGUGGCGGCAAUGCCAACCGGUUUGAAACCAAGGAAGAAUGUGAGGCUUGGUGUGUCCCAAUACAGUAACAGUACAAGCAGAGCCCUGUUACUGUUAAAGGCAGAGCUUUUAAUGCUGAUGAAAUGGAGAUUACCAGGGCUGAGGCAGGACCUCACAGCUCAGAAGUGACAGCCCAUUCCAACACCUUGGACAUCAGAUUCCUAAACGUCUGAAUGUUUUCACGCCAACAAGGACUUGGGCCAGAUGAUUUGUGACUUGAGGACUGAAUUCUAAUAGUUAAAAAAGUAACUGAAAGAUAUUUAAAUGAAUUAGAACGGAAUGAAAAAUAAACUUGAACUUAUAAUAUUAUUUUAAAAUUUGGGGGUGCUAUGUAGCAAAAUAAAAAUCAGUGUAAGCAGUGAGAAAAACCUAAUUCAGAAAUGAAUCGAAACUUGGUUUGUUUUUUUCACCACCAGAGAAUAGGGAAAUAUUAGUCAAAGAGAGGGCAUGGAAGAAGGGACAUCUAAUGUGAACGAACUUCAUACUUACUACUUAAUGUAGAUAAAUAAAGGCAUUCUUUA
ensembl:lncRNA novel transcript